AACUCCCAGGUAUUUACUAGCUUCAACGGUGUCCAGUGUGUGUCCGUGUAAUUUGUAAUUAGUUGGUAUUACAGGACGGUUCUUGGGUUGUAUUCUAAUUACAAUGCAUUUUUUUGCAUUGAAGCUCAUUUGCCACUUAUCUUCCCAAUCCUCUAAUGAUGUGAGAUCUUUCUGUAGUAGGUCACUUUCUGCUUGGUUACUGAUAGUUCGAUAGAGGAGGCUGUCGUCUGCAAAAAGUUUGGUCUCUGAUGAUGUUGCUGUUUCUGGCAUGUCGUUUAUGUAGGCCAGGAACAGUAGGGGUCCAAGGACUGUUCCUUGAGGAACACCAG
rnacentral:lncRNA from 1 species